UACAGAGGUCUCAAGCGUUGUUCGGAUUCAUUGGGCGUAAAGGGUGUGUAGGUGGCGCCGUAAGUCGGGUGUGAAAUUUCGGAGCUUAACUCCGAAACUGCAUUCGAUACUGCGGUGCUUGAGGACUGGAGAGGAGACUGGAAUUCACGGUGUAGCAGUGAAAUGCGUAGAUAUCGUGAGGAAGACCAGUGGCGAAGGCGGGUCUCUGGACAGUUCCUGACGCUGAGGCGCGAAGGCCAGGGGAGCAAACGGG
rnacentral:rRNA from 1 species